UACGGAGGGUGCAAGCGUUACUCGGAAUUACUGGGCGUAAAGAGCGUGUAGGCGGGUUUGUAAGUUAGAAGUGAAAUCCUAUAGCUCAACUAUAGAACUGCUUCUAAAACUGCUUACCUAGAAUAUGGGAGAGGUAGAUGGAAUUUCUGGUGUAGGGGUAAAAUCCGUAGAGAUCAGAAGGAAUACCGAUUGCGAAGGCGAUCUACUGGAACAUUAUUGACGCUGAGACGCGAAAGCGUGGGGAGCAAACAGG
rnacentral:rRNA from 1 species